AACUUGUAACAAUGUAUCACUUGGCUCUCGCAUCGAUUAAGAACGCAGCGAAAUGCGAUACGUAAUGUGAAUUGCAGAAUUCAGUGAAUCAUCGAAUCUUUGAACGCACCUUGCGCCCCUUGGUAUUCCGAGGGGCACACCCGUUUGAGUGUCGUGAAAAUCUCAACCUUCUCGGUUUCUUCUGGACACCGAAGGAGGCUUGGACUUUGGAGGCCUUUGCUGGCGUCUCUCGCCAGCUCCUCUCAAAUGAAUUAGUGGGGUCCUCUUUGCCGAUCCUCGACGUGUGAUAAGAUGUUUCCAUGUCUUGGUUUAUGGCUCUGUUGCUUUUGGGACCCGCUUCUAACCGUCUCAACGAGACAACGUUCGAGCGUGUCGAACACUCUUGAACCCACGAACCCUUGACCUCAAAUCGGGUGAGACUACCCGCUGAACUUAAGCAUAUCAAUAAGCGGAGGCU
rnacentral:misc_RNA from 1 species